rnacentral:rRNA from 1 species
UUAAGCGACUAAGCGUACACGGUGGAUGCCCUGGCAGUCAGAGGCGAUGAAGGACGUGCUAAUCUGCGAAAAGCGCCGGCGAGGUGAUAUGAACCCUUGACCCGGCGAUGUCCGAAUGGGGAAACCCAGUGCAAUCCGUUGCACUAUCGUUAACUGAAUACAUAGGUUAACGAGGCGAACCGGGGGAACUGAAACAUCUAAGUACCCCGAGGAAAAGAAAUCAACCGAGAUUCCCCCAGUAGCGGCGAGCGAACGGGGAGCAGCCCGGAGUCUGAAUCAGCUUGUGUGUUAGUGGAACGGUCUGGAAAGUCCGACGGUACAGGGUGAUAGUCCCGUACACGAAAGCACACAUGCUGUGAACUCGAAGAGUAGGGCGGGACACGUGGUAUCCUGUCUGAAUAUGGGGGGACCAUCCUCCAAGGCUAAAUACUCCUGACUGACCGAUAGUGAACCAGUACCGUGAGGGAAAGGCGAAAAGAACCCCGGCGAGGGGAGUGAAAAAGAACCUGAAACCGUGUACGUACAAGCAGUGGGAGCCUCUUUAUGGGGUGACUGCGUACCUUUUGUAUAAUGGGUCAGCGACUUAUAUUCUGUAGCAAGGUUAACCGUAUAGGGGAGCCGAAGGGAAACCGAGUCUUAACUGGGCGUUAAGUUGCAGGGUAUAGACCCGAAACCCGGUGAUCUAGCCAUGGGCAGGUUGAAGGUUGGGUAACACUAACUGGAGGACCGAACCGACUAAUGUUGAAAAAUUAGCGGAUGACCUGUGGCUGGGGGUGAAAGGCCAAUCAAACCGGGAGAUAGCUGGUUCUCCCCGAAAGCUAUUUAGGUAGCACCUCGUGAACUCAUCUUCGGGGGUAGAGCACUGUUUCGGCUAGGGGGCCAUCCCGGCUUACCAACCCGAUGCAAACUACGAAUACCGAAGAAUGUUAUCACGGGAGACACACGGCGGGUGCUAACGUCCGUCGUGAAGAGGGAAACAACCCAGACCGCCAGCUAAGGUCCCAAAGUCAUGGUUAAGUGGGAAACGAUGUGGGAAGGCACAGACAGCCAGGAUGUUGGCUUAGAAGCAGCCAUCAUUUAAAGAAAGCGUAAUAGCUCACUGGUCGAGUCGGCCUGCGCGGAAGAUGUAACGGGGCUAAACCAUGCACCGAAGCUGCGGCAGCGACACUAUGUGUUGUUGGGUAGGGGAGCGUUCUGUAAGCCGUUGAAGGUGUGCUGUGAGGCAUGCUGGAGGUAUCAGAAGUGCGAAUGCUGACAUAAGUAACGAUAAAGCGGGUGAAAAGCCCGCUCGCCGGAAGACCAAGGGUUCCUGUCCAACGUUAAUCGGGGCAGGGUGAGUCGACCCCUAAGGCGAGGCCGAAAGGCGUAGUCGAUGGGAAACAGGUUAAUAUUCCUGUACUUGGUGUUACUGCGAAGGGGGGACGGAGAAGGCUAUGUCAGCCGGGCGACGGUUGUCCCGGUUUAAGCAUGUAGGCGGAGGUUCCAGGUAAAUCCGGUACCUUGUUAACGCUGAGGUGUGAUGACGAGGCACUACGGUGCUGAAGUGAUAAAUGCCCUGCUUCCAGGAAAAGCCUCUAAGCAUCAGGUAACACGAAAUCGUACCCCAAACCGACACAGGUGGUCAGGUAGAGAAUACCAAGGCGCUUGAGAGAACUCGGGUGAAGGAACUAGGCAAAAUGGUGCCGUAACUUCGGGAGAAGGCACGCUGAUGUGUAGGUGAAGCCCCUGCGGGUGGAGCUGAAAUCAGUCGAAGAUACCAGCUGGCUGCAACUGUUUAUUAAAAACACAGCACUGUGCAAACACGAAAGUGGACGUAUACGGUGUGACGCCUGCCCGGUGCCGGAAGGUUAAUUGAUGGGGUUAGCGGCAACGCGAAGCUCUUGAUCGAAGCCCCGGUAAACGGCGGCCGUAACUAUAACGGUCCUAAGGUAGCGAAAUUCCUUGUCGGGUAAGUUCCGACCUGCACGAAUGGCGUAAUGAUGGCCAGGCUGUCUCCACCCGAGACUCAGUGAAAUUGAACUCGCUGUGAAGAUGCAGUGUACCCGCGGCAAGACGGAAAGACCCCGUGAACCUUUACUAUAGCUUGACACUGAACACUGGUCCUUGAUGUGUAGGAUAGGUGGGAGGCUUUGAAGCGUGGACGCCAGUCUGCGUGGAGCCAACCUUGAAAUACCACCCUUUAAUGGCUGGUGUUCUAACGUAGACCCGUAAUCCGGGUUGCGGACAGUGUCUGGUGGGUAGUUUGACUGGGGCGGUCUCCUCCCAAAGAGUAACGGAGGAGCACGAAGGUUGGCUAAUCCUGGUCGGACAUCAGGAGGUUAGUGCAAUGGCAUAAGCCAGCUUGACUGCGAGCGUGACGGCGCGAGCAGGUGCGAAAGCAGGUCAUAGUGAUCCGGUGGUUCUGAAUGGAAGGGCCAUCGCUCAACGGAUAAAAGGUACUCCGGGGAUAACAGGCUGAUACCGCCCAAGAGUUCAUAUCGACGGCGGUGUUUGGCACCUCGAUGUCGGCUCAUCACAUCCUGGGGCUGAAGUAGGUCCCAAGGGUAUGGCUGUUCGCCAUUUAAAGUGGUACGCGAGCUGGGUUUAGAACGUCGUGAGACAGUUCGGUCCCUAUCUGCCGUGGGCGCUGGAGAAUUGAGGGGGGCUGCUCCUAGUACGAGAGGACCGGAGUGGACGCAUCACUGGUGUUCGGGUUGUCAUGCCAAUGGCACUGCCCGGUAGCUAAAUGCGGAAGAGAUAAGUGCUGAAAGCAUCUAAGCACGAAACUUGCCCCGAGAUGAGUUCUCCCUGAGACUUUAAGUCUCCUGAAGGAACGUUGAAGACGACGACGUUGAUAGGUCGGGUGUGUAAGCGCAGCGAUGCGUUGAGCUAACCGAUACUAAUGAACCGUGAGGCUUAACCU